UACGGAGGGUGCAAGCGUUAAUCGGAAUUACUGGGCGUAAAGCGUGCGUAGGUGGUUCGUUAAGUCCGUUGUGAAAGCCCCGAGCUCAACUUGGGAAUUGCAGUGGAUACUGGCGGACUAGAGUGCGGUAGAGGAAGGUGGAAUUCCCGGUGUAGCGGUGAAAUGCGUAGAGAUCGGGAGGAACACCAGUGGCGAAGGCGGCCUUCUGGACCAGCACUGACACUCAAGCACGAAAGCGUGGGGAGCAAACAGG
rnacentral:rRNA from 1 species